GAAAAUUCAACUUGCUGAAAAAUGGAAAUUUCGUGCGAUGAUUUAUUACGAUGGUUGAAGGUACAUCUAUGGCAUCGUAACAGGUGACGAAUCUUGGACCGAUGCAUAUGAGUCGGAAACAAAACAGCUAUCGACAGUAUGGGUGUUCCAAGACGAGCUUAAUCCAACAAAAGUUGUUCGGGGAAGAAACAACUCAAAGCAAAUAGUCACCUUUUUUUCGGAAAAUCUGUUCAUAACGCCACUGUACCUCUAGAGAAACUUAAAAAAGUCAAUUAUAACAGGUACAUAACCAUUUUUUAGUCAGAAGUUUAUGGAGAGUUAAGGAAAACAAACCGCCGAAGACAAAUCAUCAUUUUGCACUAAACAAUGCGAGUUCUCACGUAGAGUUCUUUUGUACUCAAAAGAUCGAAUUAGUGGAUUAUCCGCCUUAUAGCCUUGAUUUGGCACCGAAUAAUUUCUUUUUGAUUCCGAACAACAAAUAUAAAAUGUGAGGUCAACGUUUUUCGCUAGAGAAACGCAUUACACAUCUUGUUUUCGAGAUAAACAUAAAAAGUGUCAACGAAAGUGCUUUGAAAGUUGGUUCAAACGAAUGCAGAGGUGUAUUGACUUUCAAGGAGAUUAAAAAAAAAGCGUUCAAAAAAUUAUAAUGAAAUAUUUUCCUAUGUUUUCAUAUAAAAGGCUACCCUCGUAACUAGCUGCAUUAAAAAAUCGAAUAAUCACUACAUACGCCUCUGGUUCGAUCAAACUCUGCCAGCAAAUGAACACUUUUUAGAAGCUACCAAUUAUCCUAGAAGUACUUAUGCAUUCUGUAUUCGCCACAUCCUGCUACAUUGUCAAUAUCCCUCAUCCAUGCUCACCAAGUUCUUUGAAGAUAACAAUCGAAUCCAAUCGAAAUCGAAAUCCAGCCCUGCAGAAAACAAUGUACUGCUUCCUAAAGAAUAUUAGCCCGCCCUGAGCCUACCUUUACAUACUCGACUUUAUUUAAGAAGAAAAAUAAAAAGCUUCAAAUUGAUUAAGGAACCGUUAGAAUUUAUAUCAACAUUUAUUUCGGCAGAAGUGUACCCCGAAGUUUCGUUUUGUUUUUACUGCCAGUAGAGUAUAAAAAGUCAACGUGAAAGCCCAAAAAGAACUCCUAAUAGCGAGUGAUUUUUUAAGUUUUUAAAGCAAUGGAGUGUAGAAAUAGUGAAGAAUAAUUACUGUAGUGAAUGGAAUCAGUCGUGUUAGAUGAAGAUGAUGAAGAUUUUAGUGAUGAAGCAUUGGAAGACCCGAAUUAUAAGCCAGAAGAAAUCUCUCCGGGUGACGAAAAGAAUAUAUCAGCAUGUCUGCAAGAAAUGAAUUAAAGGUCUGAGUCAUUUAUUCCAACCGCUGAUUUAAACCGUCUCUUUAAAUUGCUGGCUUAUCUGACGUCCCUUCUUCUGAUAAAUAGGAUUACAGAUCUCGAAGCUAGCUUGAAAAAUUCAAGCGAGUUUUCCAACAGUACACUUUAAGGAGGACUGAUUACAUCGUCCAAAUGGUGACAGGAGCGAAAACCAUAACGUUACUUUAAUGUGGGUCCCAGGAAAUCGGAACAUUGACGGAAUAACAUUACUGCAGAAUCUGUAUUCACACCACUGGGUUCAAUGAAUACCUACAAACCUGCAUAUAUCUAAUACCUGCAAAAAUGAUAUGUAAACAAACAAACAUUAAUAAAUAUGAAACUAAGGGUUGCCGACAGAUUCACGGCAGUGAAAACUGGCUUCUGGUCUAUAGGGGAGCAAGCAGGCAAAAUGUAUAUCCCUUACAAUAUAACUGUCAUAGUUGUAAUUAACUGGAGAAAAAAGAAACUAUCUUCCACUUUUUCUGCGAAUGCCCCGCCCUAUGUACGGCGAGGAUGUUAACUCUUGGCAAACCGCUUCUGGAAAACCUCUAAUAGCUGGCUGGUAUAGACGUAAACAACCUUAUAAGGUUUGUCAAUCCCACAGACUGGAUAUAGUCGUGAAGGAAUAACUCAAAUAACUUGUAGAUAGCGAGGAUAUGGCAACAAAAUGUUGAAUCACCA